GUUAAGCUUUCCUUGUUGCAUGACAUGGCACGGGAUUCUUGUCAAAACUCUUACAUCACUUAGUCACAUGUCUGUAUCUUUCUUGUGGACUUUGUUCCUUGAAAUUAUGUUACUCUAAAAUACAGGGACAUAUCUCUGUGUUAUGAGCUGAAGCAUUGCCCCUUCAGUGUCUUCAGUUUUUUACCAACCGUAUGGUUGCAUAACUGCAAUUCUUUAAUUGCGCUCUUGGUUUAAGUUUGCUUCCCAGUCCUAUUUGGGCUUCGAAGUUCCAAAACUGUAUGAACCUUCGUAUAACUGAGCCAAUGCUGAAAGCCGAAAGGUUUUGUUGGACUCGACUGCUAUCCUCUAGUGUGGGUGCCACAUAGGUCCAAAAGCUUUAUUCUGUUAUCCAUUGCUUUUAAUUGAGGGAUUUCCUGAAAACAAAAAGAUGAAUCCAAUAUUACUAUAUUUUUGAGAAACAAAAAAGAGAGUACCGGAAUUGGUCUUUCAUGUUUUUCUAGGGCUUGUUUGGGAGUAAAGAUACCUGAGAGGAUAGUAAGGAGAAAACUCCCAAACAAGCUUGUUUUUUUUUUUGUACUCUCAGUUCCCUCCCUCUGCAGAAUCUGUUUUUACUGUUUCCCAGAGGCAAGUUAUGAAUAGGGCUGUUUUUACUGUUUUUUUGUACUCUCAUCCAACACCAGUAGACCUCCACGUUUGGUUGCGGGACAUAUCAGCUCAGCUGUGGAUUGGACUAGGGUGACAAUGAGCUCUAAAUUUUACGCUAUAAAUUUAAGGAUAGGAUUAAGAUCAGACUUUAUUUUUAUUUUUUUGAACUAGAAACAAUUUAGGGUCCUAAUAAAUUAUGAAGAAGCAUUUGGAUCGUGAUUCAUUACCACCUCUAGAUAGGACAGACUCUGAUUAUACGAUAGACUCUCACUAUAGGGAUGGAAUGUUCUGAAAUGGUCUCUAGUCGUGUUUGGUGACGAUCAUUGUUUUUGUUUGGUUUGGAGAUAGGUAGGGAUAGAUUGACCCCAUCCUCCGUUUGGUUGGAGGGAUGGAGGGGGACGUGAGGAAUAGAUGCUUAUGUGUGGGAUGUGAGGAGACUCAGUCUUUCUGGGUAUGGCUUUGCCCCCACAAUUUUGAGAGAUAGCUAGACAAUAUCAAUUGAGAAUAUUUCAACGAGGAUGGUCCUGCCUGUCCUGACUCUGACACAAAACAACCCAAUCUAAGGGAUCGUUUUAUCUUAUCCUGUCUUGUCAUUACAACUAAACACACUCUUACAUUUUAUUUAGUAGCCAUGGCUACGUCUUUUGAGAACAAGGUUUGUCCCCUACAAUGAAUGGGAAGAGGAUGAGAUACUUAUGUCAACCACUUGUGUGCCACACGACCAAACUGAAAGAACAAUGUGGUGCUUUUAGCUCAUCUUUUGAAUGAAAAUUUUCCUUUGUUAUCUUAGUUUUUGUAGACAUGUCUUUCACAUAGAAUACUUGAGUUAUAUCAUUUGCCAAAAUGAAUGGUUUAUCUUUAUAUCUAAUAUUAUUGAGAUCAAUGUUUGUCAUACCAUACUCUAGAUCAUCCAUUAUGUUGCCUGCAUUUAUCUUAAUUAACUAGCACUGAAAUAGAGAGAUCUUUAAGUAAGGUCUAUAGUCAAGUUCCUAGAUCUCCUCGUCGUAACAAGAAUAUGUCUUCUUAGUAUCAUCAUUGGUAAUGGCAUAUAUACAGGCGUCACUAUUUUGGUUGUUCUUAUUGUCUCUGUGCAAUUGUGUAGAAUGUAUACCUAUUUAUCUUGUAUUCUUCUAAUGUAAAGAUCGAGGGAAGACAUACCCCUAAUCAACCAUGUCGUUGAUCAUCAAUGAGUUUGCAGGUUCAUAGAACUACUAUGCCUCUGAAAAUACUCUGAAAGCACAAGAACGUUGAAGUAUUAUGAAAAUUCAUUUGCUAGUCGAAUAAUCAUCAAAACCAUGCAACUGUUCUUAUUAUUAAACCGAAUCCUCUAAUUAUAGCAUCUGAAAAGACAUGAAUUAAUAGACCUAUCUAUUUAUCGGUGCCUAUUUAUAUAUUUUGACCCAAUCUACACGACAUAUCAAAGAAACAACACCCAUAGCGCUAGAUAAACAUUCAAUUGAUUGAUUCCACCAUGCAAUCGAACUAAUCAAUCAAUCCUUAAAGCAACGGUCAACGGACCAGUGUGUCCCCGUUGCCGAGUGAGGGCAGUGGAGGCAACGAUAUGACGCGAGUUGCUUCUUCGUGCAGCCGUCAAGUAGGCAAGUAGCUUCAAGUCGUUCGUCGUGGAGGGCCCGCCUGGGGGAGCAGUGGGUGUGCCUUCGCACCAGGCGGGGGAGGGGAGCCGAGGAGGUGAAGGUCGAGGCCCCCACCAUGUUGGACGUCGUCGCCGAGCCUGUCCCGGACGACGCACCCUUCUUCUACCGCGUCGAGUCGCUCGAGCGUGGCUGCGUGGGUCCGGCUUCCACCUCAUUCUCCUUGGACGGGCGCUCAACCACGAGGACUGUCGACUUCUUGCACGACUGCGACGUCUUCUUCUCUAUCACGGGCGCGCGGGGUCGGCAUCGAUGGGAUCGACAGCGGGCGGAGACACUGGUUUGGCGGCGUCGGCAGACCGGCAUCUCCGGUACCCGACACCACCUCGCUGGUUUGGUUCGGCAGGUAGGUCCUCGCCUAGUUGGGUAGCUCGGUGAGCGGGUUGGUUGGCAAUACCACCUCACCGGGUUGCUCGUCAAGCGGGUUGGUCGGUCGUCUCGCCCCGUCAGGUUGUUCGGUGGGCGGGUUGGUCGGCAGAUCUGCCCUGCCGGAUUGCUUGAAGUAUAGGUCAGUCGGUUAGUGGAUCAUCUUUGAGAGGUCUUUUAGGUCUUCUUUGAACAGUCGGUUCUCAGGUACCCGACAUAAAGGUUGUAUGCUACAACUUAUUUUAGUAAAACAAUUCUUGCCAUCCACGCUUAAACCAAA